rnacentral:rRNA from 1 species
GACGAACGCUGGCGGCGUGCUUAACACAUGCAAGUCGAACGGUAAGGCCCUUCGGGGUACACGAGUGGCGAACGGGUGAGUAACACGUGGGUGAUCUGCCCUGCACUUCGGGAUAAGCCUGGGAAACUGGGUCUAAUACCGGAUAGGACUCCUGGCUUCAUGGUUGGGGGUGGAAAGCUUUUGCGGUGUGGGAUGGGCCCGCGGCCUAUCAGCUUGUGGGUGGGGUAAUGGCCUACCAAGGCGACGACGGGUAGCCGGCCUGAGAGGAUGACCGGUCACACUGGGACUGAGAUACGGCCCAGACUCCUACGGGAGGCGGCAGUGGGGAAUAUUGCACAAUGGGCGCAAGCCUGAUGCAGCGACGCCGCGUGAGGGAUGACGGCCUUCGGGUUGUAAACCUCUUUCAGCUAUGACGAAGCGCAAGUGACGGUAGUAGCAGAAGAAGGACCGGCCAACUACGUGCCAGCAGCCGCGGUAA